ACACAUUCCUGUGCAAUCUGCUCUGGGUGAACCUGCCUUAGCAGGUGGGUUGGACUAGAUGAUCUCCAGAGGUCCCUUCCAAUCCCAACCAUUCUGUGAUUCUGUGAAAAGAAGAAUAUCUUGUAGGAUCUACCACAUAAGCUCCAGUUCCUCCAGUUUCCCCAAAAGAAGUUAACUUUUGAGGGUGUUCCUGGCAGGAGGGUGACAUCUCCCAGCAGCACCCACUGCUGCCAGGCUCCUAUUCCAGGGGAAGAAAAAUUUCCUUGAGAAAGCUGCCAUGAAGUGCCAGAAAAUUUGCCAGACCUUUUACAAGACGCACAUGAACUACAAAGGUCCUGGAAGGAGUUGCAGUGCUAAGAACAGUGAAAUGGAUUUUACUUUGUAAGAGAUCACAGAAAACUAAAGAAGGUACACAGGAGAAUCAGAAAUCUCUGAACCUUAACAUGGAAUCAAAAGCAAAGGCUGACUGGGAUCACAGAAGUGUUACUCAGCUCACCCAAUAGAGUGUAGCCCACGUUAGACUACUCAACUUCCUUCCUACAAUUUGCUGCACUUACCUGUUGUGUUUUACUCUGGAAGCAACUCAAAGAGCGGAAACAACAUUAUGAAAAAGGUGAGGCAGCCAAUAACAAAACAUAAAAGCAAAAGGCCUGCUCUGAGCAAACACAGCUCACCUUCCCAAAGUGAGAACUGCAGCCAGAGAGAACAUCCUGCUCAGCACCUCUCAGUCUCAGGCCAACAGAAAGCAAAGGUCAAACAACUGAGGCAAAUCCAAGGCAGCCAAAAUUAAGGGCAUCCUUUAUAUAUUAAUGUGGAACAGGUGAGUGCUGCCAUAGACAUUGAUGCAGCUACUUAGAUGCAAACAACCUGUAGAAAUAUUUGCAUAACCUAUUCAGUUCUGUGAAAUGAGUCAUGAUUUGUAUCAUAUGUGAGCAAAUAACUCACAAAUAGAGAUUUAUAAGCAAACUGCUUCCUAGAAAUCACCCACUCAAGUCUGAGGCACAUUUAACCAGGACCAGACCAGCGGUUCCUUUCACCAAGCUCCUGUGCCUCCAGCUUUGAUAUUUGUGCAGUCUAACAAAAUUCCUGAAUGUACAUAACUUGUGGUGAAUCAAUCUGGCUACGACAGGAAAACAAACUAUUUACACCAAGAGUUUUGUGUGCACCACAACUAACCCCUCAGUUUGCCAUUACUUAGCUGUCUUAAAUAUAAUAAAUGCACUGCUAUCUUUGUUUACUCUUUGCUUUUAAACAAACAAAAAACUAAGAGGGGUAGUAUUAAAAACAGUAAUGUGAGGAAAUUCAAAGAUACUUUUUCACAUCAUGCGCAAGCCAAGGCACACUCCAUAUAUACACAUGCAGAUUAUAUGAAGACAUACUUUACAUCACAUGAAAACUAACUUGUGUUUGAAAGAGUAAAAGACUAAAAGAACCAUCUAGAGCCGGCUUUGUUGAUACAUGGGAUGUUUUCUACGCUUGCCAAAUUUGCUGCCAAUGAUUUAGUCUUUUUAACAACAUUUACUGUUCCUAACCUACUUUACUGUUUGCUGUGCCUUUCCACCACCUCCCUACUCCUGGUGAAGGAAUCUCCUGGGCAGUGAUCGCUCUGGUUUCUUCUCUGCUCCUCAGCAGCCGUGUAACAGAGAGUGCUGAGAGAAGCUGCAUUGCAAAGAGGUAUCUAAUUAUUUGGGUUAAACUUUACCAGGCACAUUAAUGAAGUGGUGGAAAAGAAGAUGAUAGUAAAUGGAAUUAAAAUUUAUCUUACAAACCACAGCCCUCUGUACAAAGAAAAUAGCAUGCCAGGAGUCAAAAGAGUUAGGAUGCAAGUUCCCCUUGUCUCAAUACUCGCAGGCAAUCACUCACCUUUUUAUGGAGAACAAUGACCUUUUUUGAUACAAUGGUGACCCAGCUUAGACGAGUAAAUGGAAAAAAGCAUGAAAAAAAAGAGGACUUUUUAUUAUUCCUUGCAAUCAAAAUGUAAAAAUUUCAAUGAUCUAAAAAAGCACCUCUUCAUUAAAGAGUUGAUGAAAGUGUAGGUCACUCCUAUUAUCCUUUUAAAUUAAUAAAAAAAUCCUGAUCUUUUAAAAUUCAGAAGAAUAAUGUAUAUUUAAAAUAUUCUGUAAUUACUACAAAAGUAUUAAUUAACAGUUCAUGGAUGCAUAAGUAGUGAGAUAAAGGAAUAAGCCAUCUACUCACUAUAAAUAUAAGCUUAAAAAAAUCAUUUUAUAGCAUUUUUGUAGCUGUAUGAUGUUAGGCAGGUCAUAACACUAGUACUUUCCUCUGAAAACCUAAUAAUUAUUAACCUUUUUAAUUUUUAAGCUGAAUAUUGACUUUGCUAUAAAUUGGAAUAAGUUCAAUCUUACAGUCAAUUCCAAACAUGAAAGAGUUUCUCUUCCAGCCACACUGACCACUAGCACCAAUUUACAGAUAUUUUCUUAGGCUUGACUCAAAGAGAAGUCUGAAUUAUCUUACUGCAAAUCAUUUUAAGUAACAGCACAAUAAUUCUUAUGUAAAGCACAGAAUUCUAGAUACAUAAAAUCACUAUUUUUCUCUACCAAACUAUAAAAGUUAUUCCAAACUGCAUGAGAAACACAACACAAUUUUCCUUCCACAAUAAGGCCCACAGGCAGAGAGGAAAAGUAUAGCAUGCGAUUCUAUUAAAUUUAGCCCUUCAGAAAAUGUGGUGGGUUUGCUUCUAUACUUUAAUCCCGCUUUUGUUAAAUGACAUUUUUUACAUUAAAAGAAAAAAAAAAGCUUUUGAGUUAGAUUUGAUCACUAGUACUUUUGUAUGCCAUCCUUUGACUCCCAGAAAUGUCCUUCUCACCAUCAGAGCCUGGAUCACAGCACAGUUAAACUCCGUCCCCUGAGCACAGGGGAGGAUGGUGGAUCAGGCAGGGGUUUCCUGCUCCUCCAGCCCACGUCCUCCACUGCUUUGUGCAAUAUUGAGCCGACACAAAUGGUUAUGCUGCACCAGCACCAUGGGGAGGAUUGCAUUUUCUCAUCCCCUCUACUCCACUCUGGUGAGACCCCACCUGGAGACCUGUGUCCACCUCUGGAGCCUUCAGAACAGGAAAAACAUGGGUCUGUUGGAGAGGGUCCAGAGGAGGCCACAAAAUGAUCAGAGGGCUGGAACACCUCUCCUGUGAGGACAGGCUGAGAGUUGAGGUCAUUCAGCCUGGAGAAAAGUCCAGGGAGACCUUAUUGCAGCCUUUCAGUACUCAAAAGGGACCUAUAAGAAAGAUGGGGACAGACUUUUUAGCAGGACCUGUUGCGAUAGGACAAGGAGUAACAAUUUUCGACUAAAGGAGGGUAAAUUCAGGCUAGACAGAAGAAAGAAAUUUUUUACAGUGAGGGUGGUGAAACACUGGCCCAGGUUGCCCAGAGAGGUGGUAGAUGCCCCAUCCCUGGAGUCAUUCCAGGCCAGGCUGGACGGGGCUCUGAGCAACCUGAUCUAGUUGCAGAUGUCCCUGCUCAUUGCAGGGGAUUGGACUAGAUGACCUUUGAAGGUCCCUUCCAACUCAAACUGUUCUGUGAUUCUGUGAUCCCGAGAACUCAGAGGGAGGAAAAGAGAAAGACGUGGAGGGAGAGAUGUGUCUCCCGCAUAGCAUCUGCUGGAGAAAUUGGUCAACAGACUGAAGAGAGGGCGGAAAGUCCAACCGUCUGUGAGGAAAGCACUCAUGGUACAUGGGCUGUGGAGACCUGAGCUGGUAGGGAAGUAUUCACAUCGUUGGUGCAGUAAAGCAGUCAGGCUACUAGUGGGGUACGAGAUGCUGUCCCACGAGCUAGAGCACAAGUGGAGCACGGGGAUGGAAAGGCCAGAGUCAAGAUGGUUAGAAUUCGGACUGACAAGAUUUCAUAAGGAAAACAGAGAGUGGACCAACACAUUCACCCACAGGUUGGUGAAUGAGAUAGAAAAAAAGCUGUUAAGGGACGUGCACUCACACAAGAAGCAAAAUGAGCCAGAAAUAUUUUAAUAAUAUAGCAAUCUUUCUAAAAAUUACAACUCAACUUUUCUAUUUCAUACCAACUUCUCCAUGGACACAGAGAUGUCCAAACAGUGCAGAAUGUUCUCCCCAGUACCUCUUCAGCAGCAAAGAGAAUUAAUCAUGCAGACAGUCAUGGCCUUUUGUGUAACAGCACUCCAGCUCAGCAUCCACAUCAGUACCAGAAUCUGGGAACAAAUUCACAUCCCCAGUGCUGUGCCAGAUUCCCUUUUACUGUGUUGGGAAACUCACGUCACUACAGUUCCAUACAUAGGAAAUUAGGAGUAUCAGAGAAUAUAUUUAUGGUAUUAACUUCCAACUUUGGAAACAGGAGUGCAUUACUUCCUCUGGUGUUUAUAUGUAUGUGUAAGGACAGAAACCUUCUCCAAACAAGCCCUGAAGCACUGUCAAGAAAAUUAUUUCAGGAUAUCCUUUUUAUGUGGACAGCAAACACCACUUGGUCCAAAAGAUCAUUUGUGUCACAUAGCGUCACAUGUCUGUUUAAGUAACUGAUUUCUGGAAUGAUAACAAAAAAAGAAGAGGAAAAAAAAAUAAAAAGAAGAAAACAACCAACCCUGAAGAAACCUAAACAACUUCCCAUGUAUUUCCUUCCUCAGAAUAUUACUAAUUAUAAGGAUAAAAUCCUGUUAUGGAUAUUCAUCACAAGCAUAAAAACAAACCAUUACAUAGAUUUAGUAAAUUUGCUGGCUGACAGUUUAAUUUUUAAUAAACUGUCAGGACUCUGACAUCUAGGGGACUGCCUUCCUCAGGAAAUAACUCAAAACAGAAUAAAGUAAACUCAUUAUGUUGAGGUCUGCAACGGAGGCACUGCUGAAGAAGCAAGAAUCUACUGGAAUUCCUCUACCCACCAAGCUCCCAAAUGUUAUCUGACAACCUUGUUAGUCUCUAAGUGACCAACCUUGCAUCCUGAUUACAUGCCAUCCAAUUUCUAUUACUCUAGACUGCGAUAUAAUGCAAUUCUUGUGGCAUUCCAACCCUCCGAGAUGCCAACCAUGUCUCCCAAUGCUAGGCCAUCAGCAGGCUUUCAUAACUAGGAUUUUGUUUUGUCUGUGUGGGCAGCAAGGUCAAUAAUGAAAAUAUUUAAUAAGAUCUAUCUUAGAUAUAACCUUCAGAGUAAUCACCUGCUAGACCUCUCAUCACUUUUUUUAAUACCCUUUGCCAAAUCCAAGAGCCUGAUUUUUAUCAAUUCUCACAAGUACCUUACACUUCUUGCUCACUUUAAGAGACAACUUUUCCUGCAGAUCAAUUUUUUCCCCAUUUUUAGGCUGGCUGUUCACACCUAACCUUCUUUUUAAGGUGGUUACUCAUCCUCUGAGGUCUACAUCUCUUUCCUUCUAAGAUUUUUAAUCUCAGGAGCCAGAUGCUUAGGCUGUGCUCUGCAGGCCCUUGUUAACCUUCAAAAAGAACACACACUUCUUCGCAUGAAGAUUUACUUUCCACAGCAGCCAUUGGCAAGAAGCCAAAGAGAAAAAGAUCUAGAAAAACUCCUAAAACAGCUCUAAAAUAAUUUUAAGAAUAUUGUUAAUCUUGGGAAAAACAUGGUUAAAAAAAAAAAAAAAAGGAAAAGAAAAAUAAUAGAAAGAACUCUGUGCAUAAUAAAACCAUCUCACAGGAAGAUUAAUUAAUCCUGCUAUCAAGAGACGUAAUUCUUCAAUGGGCUAUUCAACUUUUAAAAUAAUAAAAAUGAAGAUGUGUACUUGGCUUCUGGUUCAAUUUAAACCUGAAACUAUGCUGUUUGGGGAGAAUUGUUUGAUACACAAAAGGUCCAAUCACACAAACUAAACUGUCAAUGAAUGACGAACUGGCUGCAUAGUGCCAGCCAGUGAUGCUGGUGACUGCAUAAUGCCAGUAUAUAAUGUCCAACUUUCCGUUAGCUCUAGCAGAUUCCACCUGCUCCACCUAUAAGAAUCUGCGGUUAUUUUAGAGUGAUAUUUUCAAACAUCUGAGGAGUUGGAUUAUAAAAAAAUUUCAUCGCACUGAACUAAUACGGAUUCCAAUAGAGACAAAGUCAGAGGCUCUUAAAAGAUCAGGACUCAGUAACUCCUAGAAGGUCCACCUCUGGCAUUGCACAAGUGCUGAAAGGGAAUACUGCCUUGCCGUGAGUCUUACAAUCCUGACUACGGGGUGGGAACACAGAGAGCUGGUUUCUGUUCUUGGUUCCACCACUGACUUGCUAGUUAUCCACGGCCAAAUCUCUUCACUAUUCCACACCUCAAUUUUUCAUUGGGAUAUAGAAAUACUUUCUUAAAUUGAAAAGUGAUGAAAAUUAGUACGCAAGUGUUAUUAGCCUGUCCACUGCAAGAUGUUCCUUUCUGUGUUUAUACUCAUCUCUUCUACAGGCCUCCUGCCUUCACAUCAGACAUGAGCACUAGAAGCAGGUAGCUGUAGAGAUGACUGACCUUUCCCACACGUCCUGUACAGAGUGGCCCUUACCACAGCUGAUAAACAUUAAGAAGAUGCACAAUUACUUUCAAUAUGCUUAUAAAAAGCUUAACUCAAGCAGUUAUGUGCCUUGACCUAAGUGAUUGUCCCAAAUUAAGAAGGAAAAGCAAAGGCUUCCAGUAAGGUACGCUUUCCACCAUCACCUUUCAUCAUAUGUAAUCAUCCUUAUAUCCUCCCACGUGCAAACUACUUGUGUGCCGCUCAUCUCCCCGCACCCCAAUCCCCACCUAGUUAGUGCUGAAAAAUGCUUCUCCACACUCAGAACCUGCUUUUAACCUCCAGCCUGAAGGUGCCAACGAGCUGACUUGCCUCUGGCUGCCUGUCCUGUGCUGCUGGAUCCUUAUAUUCAGUUUCUGUUUGUCCAUAAAGCCCUAAACCCUCCCCCGACUUUAGGUGUUACCUCCCUUGCCAGGACAUUAGGGUUUCAGAAGAUGUCUUGGCUGCUUGCUGAACUAAACACAAUGUGAUCUUGCACUAGUUAUCCCACCUACUCAGCUCUGUUAAAAAAAAUAAACAAAAAGGUAAAUAGGCAGCAUGUUCUUUGCAGCAUUUAUUAUUAUUAUAUUAAUGAGUUAUUAUUCAGAGAUUUCAGGUAGCUGUUUUUAAACAACAGGGUCCCCACAAGUCUAAAGAAAAACUACCUAGACCUACAACAUUCAUCAGGUUUUCCUGGCUUGUGCUUAAACUUGUGAAGACUAGAGCAUCUAUGCAUUGUGCUUUUUGUUAAAAUAGUAUGAAAUAACUACAAAGACCAGGAAAUAAUCAAACAAACAAAUAAAUAAAAUCUAGGUACAGGUUUGCUAAAUGCAAGCAGUCCAAAACAACUCCAUGUAUUUCUUUAAAGCACAGCACAUUCUGCUUGGGCUUAAAGAAAUAAAAAUAAAGUUGUGAACCAGAUAGAAACAAGGAUCUCAGAAAAUAUUUUUGCAAUAACCACCAUAGCCGAAUGCUUUUCCUACCCAAAUAUCAAAGGAAAAUAGCUGUCAAAAGUGUAAAUUUAAUCACUUUUAAAUUGAACGGAAAAUUAUUUCCUAUUUUCCACAGGUUAUGAUUUGGAGUGAUCUUAAACCUCUGGAAAAGAAUUUCCCAAUUUUCAAAAAUUCUGAAGCCCAAUUACAAGUAAUUAUAGCUUUUCAUUUUCAACAUGAUGAAAUAAUUUGAUUCUUUUUACAAGAGGUCUGGUUUAGCUCAAAAUAGACAAGUGCUUCUGCAAUGAGUUAGUACACAAAGACAAUAAAGAUCAUUCUCAAAAGAAAAUCAGGGAUACAUGUUGGCUAUAAAUCAUAAAUGGAGCAUUCAGGCAAAAAUAGUUUGUGUGUUCUACAAAUGCCACUUAUUUCCAUUGCACAUGAGUGAGAUAAAGUAAACAGACCACUGACAGUUUUGGCUUUCAAAUAUAAAAUGGGUAAGAUUUGAAAGAAGCAAAAGAAAAUGUAUGGCAUAAUCACUAUUGUUAGAUCUAGUUUUAAAGUAUAAUUUGGAGAAAUAGAGUGCACAAAUACAAGCUUUUCUAUAGCCUCAUUACAGAAGAAAAGUAAACUAGGACCAUAUAGCAUUAAAACUAAAUAUUAUUUUAAAUAUCUUGUUCCCAGGUCCACUUUCUUCCUCUCCCCUCCAAGAAUUACCAUUUUUUCUUAUUCUCUGGGAGGAGAAACUAUAAUCACUAAAUUAGAGAUUCCGCUUCAGUAAAACUCCUAAAACCUUUCACACAAAAUCUAAAGCUCAACCAGCUCCAAGUCAGUGCAACACAGUUCAUUACCAUAAGGUUCAAUGCACUCUGCAAAAGGCCUGCUGGAAGUCAAAAAAACCUCCUAAAAUAACCAAGACACUUGAACAGGAUUACACCCACACCAACUCGUAGGAUUACACCCACACUAACUCGUAUUUGAAGCUAGAUUUUGCAUACAUGCAAGACCACCUAGUAAAUACUAAGCACUAUAGUAAACCUCUACACGUUUCGUUUUUAAAGACACGGGUUUGUGUAAAACCUCCAGGUUAUAACCAAACACGUUGUAAUGAGACCAAGAAGAAAUGUUAAAAUACACUGCAGCGACGAUCAUUUAAAUGCAUUUAUCAAAGAGCAGCAAACUUCUGCCUUCUAAGCAGAGAAGGAUAGUCUAACCUGGAGGCAGAAAAAUCUUAAACACAACAGUUCUUAAACUCCAGUCCAAGAUUGGGGAAGCAAGAUUGCCAGCUGGGCUCUGAUUUCCAGUGUUUCUACCUUCCCCUGGUUCAUUUGAAGGUUACCUGUGUACAGUUACCCUUCAGAAACAUGGAAUUUUACAUGUGUGUAAGGCACACUAUUGUCACAACGUAACCAGAAACUGAUACCAAAAAUACUAACAGCAAUCAUAUUUUUAAAAAUAAAGUCCUAUAGUAUUUUUGUAGCAUUGAAAGUGUAAACAGUAUUAUUAGGUUUAAUUCUUUUCCAUAAUAAAAUAUAUCUUCUUUCUUGCCUAAUACUACAAAUUGGUUAACAAUGUGUACUGUGUUAUAAAGUGACUAACAGAAAAUCAAAAAACAUUUCUGCAGUGUAUCAGAGCACCUGGUUACUAUUAAGUUUUCACAAAGAAAAUCAGUAGACCGAGCACUGACAUAUUCAACAAACCCAGGUUUCUCUUGUGGUCAAAUCUUCAAAGACUAUUAAAAAAGUGUCAGCCAAAAGGAGGAAAAAAAAACAAAAGCAAACAAACAAAAACACCACACACACAAACAAACAAAAAAGGCAACACCACACACCACUGAAACAUUGUUCAACCUCUACCAAUAAGGAGAAAAAUACUUUUUCUUGAUAGACAACAACAAAAUAAGAAAAUCUGAAUUUACAGACAUAAAUUAAAGGCUUUUAAUGCUCUUGCAGCCUUUGGGGGUGGUGUGGGAACGCAGCAGUUUCACACACAACAGAUACAGCAUCCAACAACGAGGCAGAGCGCCAGCAUCAGAAAGUUGACAUCUACAGCCCUCCUACUACCUCAAGUAAAUAUGUCACUGAAGGUUAGGCGGAACUUAGGAAUAUUAUAGAAUAUUAUAUACUUCUAUGACAUGUUUUAUUAGUAUGUACAACUUCUAAUGUCAUUCCCCAAAACAGCAGACAACAAAGCUCAUUUUAUAUUUGCAUAAGCCAGGUAUGGGGGUGUUUUCCCCAUGUUUCUCACCUGUUUCAGAAGACUAGAGAGGGCACUACAUUACAGGAGCUAUACACCUUUUUCUGUCUUGGAAGGUUAAAGCAGCAGGACAAUGUUUGGCUGAAGGUUGAAGUAGUUCUGAGAUCGUACUAGCAAAUACUGCCUGCAGACAAUGCUGGAGGUUUUUUGUCAUACUCAACAAUGACAUUAAAAAAAUGCUAAGCGAAAAAGAUUUGAUUUUUUUUUUUACUUCCUUAUUUCCUCUACCAGACAGUAUUUAUUUUUAUUAACGUGUGCUUCUUGCCAAGCCAUUGAUGCAA